UACAUGAGGUGCAAACGUUACCCGGAUUCAUUGGGCGUAAAGAGUCCGUAGGUGGCAAGGUAAGUCAGAUAUUAAAUCUUGAGGCUCAACUUCAAGUCUGUGUCUGAAACUAUCUCGCUAGAGUCUUGGAGAGGUGAGUGGAAUUCUACAUGUAGGGGUAAAAUCCGUAGAUAUGUAGAGGAACACCAAAAGCGAAGGCAGCUCACUGGCCAAGUACUGACGCUAAAGGACGAAAGCAUGGGUAGCGAAC
rnacentral:rRNA from 1 species